GGCGCAGAGGAUGAGUGACACAGGGACUUAAUGCUGAAGGCUGAUGUGACUGCAGGGUACUGAUGCGC
ensembl:snoRNA SNORD82 Small nucleolar RNA SNORD82